GGAAACCAUCCCCGUUUUUAAAGGUUCAGUCAAUAUGCCUACCAAUCUCGACGGUUUUGGUGAUAGUCACACAAGAAUUCGUGAUCGACAAGCACAUCACCAAUUAAAAGAGGAUUUGAUUGAGCAUUUAUGGGCUAAAUUUGGACAUCUUCCAAAUGAUGAUUAAAGUUUUUAAAUUUUGUAUUAAUUAAAUAAAAUGUUUGUGUGUUUUAAGUAAUAAAUAUGUUUGUUUGUUUUUAUGUUUAAAAUUUAAUUGUUAUUUUUAAUUUAAAAAAAAUGUUUUAUGAAUUACUUAAUUAUAUUAUUAAACUAUUACUAAGAAACAGGUUCUACCAAUAACACCAAAUUUCUAAACUUCAACUCUUACAUUAUUUUAUUAAUAAAACUCCACUAACACACACCCAUCCACUUUUACCAUUGUGGAUAACACCAAGUUUCUAAACUUCAACUCUUACAUUAUUUUAUUAAUAAAACUCCACUAACACACACCCAUCCACUUUUACUAUUGUGGAUGCCCU
rnacentral:lncRNA from 1 species